AGUGAACGCUGGCGGUAGGCCUAACACAUGCAAGUCGAACGGCAGCACAGUAAGAGCUUGCUCUUACGGGUUGCGAGUGGCGGACGGGUGAGGUAUACAUCGGAAUCUACUUUUUCGUGGGGGAUAACGUAGGGAAACUUACGCUAAUACCGCAUACGACCUACGGGUGUGAGCAUGGGAUCUUCGGACCUUGCGCGAUUGAAUGAGCCGAUGUCGGAGUAGCUAGUUGGCGGGGUAAAGGCCCACCAAGGCGACGAUCCGUAGCUGGUCUGAGAGGAUGAUCAGCCACACUGGAACUGAGACACGGUCCAGACUACUACGGGAGGCAGCAGUGGGGAAUAUUGGACAAUGGGCGCAAGCCUGAUCCAGCCAUACCGCGUGGGUGAAGAAGGCGUUCGGGUUGUAAAGCCCUUUUGUUGGGAAAGAAAAGCAGCAGGUUAAUACCACGCUGUUCUGACGGUAACCAAAGAAUAAGCACCGGCUAACUUCGUG
rnacentral:rRNA from 1 species